rnacentral:rRNA from 1 species
AAAUUAUAAAAUACUAAAAUAGUAUAUAAUUAUUUAUUGAAACUUAAAUAUGUUGGCGGUAUUUUAGUUUAUUUAGAGGAAUCUGUUUAUUAAUUGAUAAUCCACGAAUUAAUUUACUUAAUUUAUUAUUUUGUAUAUCGUUGUUAUAAAAAUAUUUUUUAAUAAUUAUAAUAUUUUAAAAUUAUAAAAUAAAAUUAGAUCAAAUCAAGAUGUAGAUUAUAAUUAAGAAUAUAAUGGAUUACAAUAAAUUUAUUUAAAUGGAUUUUAAAUUGUAAUAUUUAAAUGAAGGUGGAUUUAAAUGUAAUUUUUUUUAUUUUAUUGAAAUGAUUA